GAUUAUUGAGUGUCGGAAAUGGUUCCCGACGCACCCGCAAGGGUACCUGAGAUGAUGGAUACACCGCCCAUCCAAUAAUC
rnacentral:ncRNA from 12 species